CUUUUUCUGCUUCCUCUGCUCUGUCUCCAGAUCAUUCUGCUCCAGGAAAUUCUGCUGCCUCUGCUCCGGGGCAUUCUGCUCCAGACAAUUCUGUUCCACACAAUUCUGCUUCUUCUGCUGUCUCUUAUCCGGCUUUUUCUGCUUCCUCUGCUCUGUCUCCAGGUGAUUCUGCUCCAGACAAUUCUGUUCCAGAUUAUUCUGCUUCUGCUGUCUCUUAUCCAGUUUUUUCUGCUUCCUCUGCUCUAUUUCCAGAUGAUUCUGCUCCAGGUAAUUCUGUUCCAGGUAAUUCUGCUCCAGGGCAUGCUGCUCUAGAUAAUUCUGCUUCUGCUGUCUCUUAUCCGGCUUUUUCUGCCUCCUCUGCUCCUGGUGCCGAAUCUCCAGAUGAUUCUGCUGCCUCUCUUCCUGACAAUUCUGCUCCAGACAAUUCUGUUCCAAAUAAUUCUGUUCCAGGUAAUUCUGCUUCUUCUGCUCUCUCUUAUCUGGCUUUUUCUGCCUCCUCUGCUCCUGGUGCUCCUGGAGCUUCGGCUUUUUCUGCUGCCUCUGCUCCAGAUGAUUCUGUUCGAGAUGAUUCUGCUCCAGAUGAUUCUGCUCCAGAUAAUUCUGCUUUUUCUGCUGCCUCUGCUCCAGAUGAUUCUGUUCGAGAUUAUUCUCCUCCAGCUUAUUCUUCUUCUUCUUCUUCCUCUGUUCCAGGUAAUUCUGCUCCAGAUGAUUCUGCUGCUUCUCCACCUGAUUCAGCUUCCUCUGCUCCAGAUGCUCCAUCUCCAGAUGUUUCAGUUUUUUCUGCUUCCUCUGCUCCAGUUGAUUCUGUUCCUGACGCUGCAGCUUUUUCUGCUGCCUCUUCUCCUGAUGCUCCAUCUCCAGAUGCUCCUGCUCCUGCUGCUCCAGCUUUUUCUGCUGCCUCUGCUCCAGCUUCUCCCAGCGCUGCAGCUGCCCCAGCCCCUGGGGCUGUCCCCGAGCCGUGGGGCCGGGCAGCCGCCCCUGCCGGGCACUGCCGGGGCUCCUGCAGGGAAAUCGGGGAGUCAGGAACCAAAACAGGGCUGGUGGGGACACCCAGAGCCUUUCCUGAAGGGAAACUGGGGAGUCAGGAACACCCAGAGCCUUUCCUGCAGGGAAACUGGGGAGUCAGGAACACCCAGAGCCUUUCCUGAACGGAAAUCGAGGAGUCAGGAACCAAAAAGGGCUGGUGGGAACACCCAGAGCCCCUCUGUGUGUACCCAGAGCCUUUCCUGCAGGGAAAUUGGGGAUCAGCACCCCAAAAAGGGCUGCUGGGAACACCCAGAGCCUUUCCUGAAGGGAAAUUGGGGAGUCAGGAACACAAAAAGUGCUGCUGGGAACACCCAGAGCUCUUCUGGAUGCACCCAGAGCCGGCUCCUGCAG
rnacentral:lncRNA from 1 species